rnacentral:rRNA from 1 species
GUAGAAAACUACAGCUUUAUGUAAAAAAAAGAGGGGAACUGAAACAUCUUAGUACCCUUAUUAAAAAUCAACCGAGAAUUCGUAAAUAGUGGUGAAUGAAAGCGAUCUAGGUUAAUAAUGAUAUACUUUUUUUAAUAAGAGACCAAAGAAGGUUCAAAGUCCUGUAAAUUUGAGAAUAGCUUUUUUUUAUUGUUGCAAUUCUCUUUUCUUGUAAUAAGUUUGGAGUACCAUCUUCAAAACCUAAUAACACCUAACAAUCGAUAGUGCAAAGUACUGUAAAGGAAAAGUGAAAAAAGAGCUUUAGCUUCUCAGUGAAAAGAUCCUGAAACUUAAUGUUUUUUUGCAAUUGACGCUUUUAAGCAACGGUGUACCUUUUGUAUAAUGAACCAACGACUUUUUAUAUACGGCGAGUUUAAAUCCAUAGGUGUUAGGCGUAGUGAAAACAAAAACAUAAAAAAAAGUCGUCUAUAAAAGACUCGAAACUAAGUGAUCUAACCAAAAACAGGUUGAAAAUCAAAUCAUAAUAUUUAUUGGAGGACCGAACUCGUGUAUGUUGCAAAAUACUGAGACGAUUUUUGGUUAGGGGUGAAAGGCUAAUCAAACUUAGCGAUAGCUAGUUUUCUGCGAAAUCUAUUUUAGUAGAGUUUUUAUUACAAAAUUUGAGGUAGAGCUCUUUUUUAGUGAUGGGGAAUUUACUUACUGAUCUUCCUAAAACUACGAAUGCAAAUUUUUUGUCUUAAAAAAUCAGACUUUAGGCGAUAAGGUUUAAUGUCUAAAGGGAAACAGCCCAGCUUGACCGCUAAGGACCUAAAAAAUAUAAAAGUUAAAAGGAGUUUUUUACCCCAAAAGGUCGUAAGGUAAACUUAGAAGCAGUUAUCCUAUAGUGAAAGCGUAGUAGCUCAUCGGCCGAGGUAUUUAGCACUGAAAAUGUAAUGGGUUUAAAAAUAUUUUCCGAAGCGGCAAAAUAUUCGAUCUCAGUCUAAACUCAGAUCAAAUAUUGGUAGUAGAAUCUUCUGUUAUAUAAAAAAGUUCUUUUGUCAAAAAGGAUGCAAGUUAUCAGAAGUAAAGAUGUUGGUAUGAGUAAUAUUAAAGAAUUGUGUAAACAUUCUCGCCAAAAACUUAAGGUUUUCGAUAUAAUAUUAUUUUUUGUCGAGUGUGGUAAAUCGAUCCCUAAGAGAAAAGUGAAAACCGAACUUAAUGGGAAAAAAUAUGUGUUAUUAGAAAUACGUGACAAAAAUAGAUUUUUAAUUAAAAUAAAAAUUUAAUUAUUGUUUUUUUUUCAAGAAAUAGCUGUUUUGUAAAAAUCGUACCCCAAACUAACACAAGUAGGUUGGUUGAAGAAACUAAGGCGUUGAGAAAAUUAUGUAAAAGGAACUCGGCAAAUUUCUUCUGUAUCUUCGGUAGAAAGAAGGACUAUUGCGCAAAAAAGCGUUUUAGUUGUCACAAAAUUAGAAAAAGCGACUGGUUAAUAAAACCACAAGUCAUAGCAAAUUCGUAAGAAAAAGUAUUGUGGCUGACACCUGUCCGGUGCUGAAAUGUUAAGAAAAACAUGUCUAGGCUUUUUUUUUAAGCAUCAGUAAACGACAGCUGUAACUCUGACAGUUCAAAGGUAGCAAAAUUCUUUGUCAAUUAAUUGUUGACCCGCAUGAAUGGUGUAACGACUUUUUCACUGUCUCUUACAUAAGCUUAAUGAAAUUGAAUUUUUCGUGAAGAUGCGAAAGUUUUACAAAAAGACGAAAAGACCCUAUGAUGCUUUACUAUACCAAUAUGUUGUUGCUAUUUAAUUUUUGUGCAGUAGUAGGUGGGAGUGAUUUGCUUUACACUAAUGAAAUACCACUCUUAAUUUAAUUGGCAACUAACUCUUUUAAGAACAGCGUAUUUUUGGUAGUUUUGUUGGGGCGACAACCUUCUAAAAAGUAACGAAGGUGUACAAAGGUUAGUUAAAGUAUUUUUUUACUGGAUUGUAUAAUAGCAAAAACUAGCUUGACUGUGAAGAAAACAUUCCAAACAGGAGCUUUUUGCUGGUUAUAGUGAUCUGAUACUUUUGAAUGGAAAAAUUAUCACUUAACGAAUAAAAGCAACUCUAGGGAUAACAGGUUUAUGAUACUUUCGAGUCCAAAUCUGCAGUAUCGUUUGACACCUCGAUGUCGACUUAUCGCGUCCUGAAAUUGAAGUAGAUUUCAAGGGUUUGUCUGUUCGCCAAUUAAAGCGGUACAUUAGUUGGGUUUAGAACGUCGUGAGACAG